rnacentral:rRNA from 1 species
GAUGAACGCUGGCGGCAUGCCUUACACAUGCAAGUCGAACGGCAGCACGGGAGCAAUCCUGGUGGCGAGUGGCGAACGGGUGAGUAAUAUAUCGGAACGUGCCCAGUCGUGGGGAUAACGUAGCGAAAGCUACGCUAAUACCGCAUACGAUCUAUGGAUGAAAGCGGGGGAUCGCAAGACCUCGCGCGAUUGGAGCGGCCGAUAUCAGAUUAGGUAGUUGGUGAGGUAAAGGCUCACCAAGCCGACGAUCUGUAGCUGGUCUGAGAGGACGACCAGCCACACUGGGACUGAGACACGGCCCAGACUCCUACGGGAGGCAGCAGUGGGGAAUUUUGGACAAUGGGCGCAAGCCUGAUCCAGCAAUGCCGCGUGCAGGAUGAA